AGAGUUUGAUCCUGGCUCAGGAUGAACGCUAGCGGCAGGCUUAACACAUGCAAGUCGAGGGGCAGCAUAAUGGAUAGCAAUAUCUAUGGUGGCGACCGGCGCACGGGUGCGUAACGCGUAUGCAACCUACCUUUAACAGGGGGAUAACACUGAGAAAUUGGUACUAAUACCCCAUAAUAUCAUAGAAGGCAUCUUUUAUGGUUGAAAAUUCCGAUGGUUAGAGAUGGGCAUGCGUUGUAUUAGCUAGUUGGUGGGGUAACGGCUCACCAAGGCGACGAUACAUAGGGGGACUGAGAGGUUAACCCCCCCACACUGGUACUGAGACACGGACCAGACUCCUACGGGAGGCAGCAGUGAGGAAUAUUGGUCAAUGGACGCAAGUCUGAACCAGCCAUGCCGCGUGCAGGAUGACGGCUCUAUGAGUUGUAAACUGCUUUUGUACGAGGGUAAACGCAGAUACGUGUAUCUGUCUGAAAGUAUCGUACGAAUAAGGAUCGGCUAACUCCGUGCCAGCAGCCGCGGUAAUACGGAGGAUUCAAGCGUUAUCCGGAUUUAUUGGGUUUAAAGGGUGCGUAGGCGGUUUGAUAAGUUAGAGGUGAAAUUUCGGGGCUCAACCCUGAACGUGCCUCUAAUACUGUUGAGCUAGAGAGUAGUUGCGGUAGGCGGAAUGUAUGGUGUAGCGGUGAAAUGCUUAGAGAUCAUACAGAACACCGAUUGCGAAGGCAGCUUACCAAACUAUAUCUGACGUUGAGGCACGAAAGCGUGGGGAGCAAACAGGAUUAGAUACCCUGGUAGUCCACGCAGUAAACGAUGAUAACUCGUUGUCGGCGAUACACAGUCGGUGACUAAGCGAAAGCGAUAAGUUAUCCACCUGGGGAGUACGUUCGCAAGAAUGAAACUCAAAGGAAUUGACGGGGGCCCGCACAAGCGGAGGAACAUGUG
rnacentral:rRNA from 1 species